rnacentral:SRP_RNA from 1 species
CUGUGCUAAAGUGGGGAGCUAGCAGUGCCCUGUAACCCGGAAUCUGCUAUACCGGGGCUGAAAACUUGCACGAGGCUUAUCUUUUGUUAGGCUGGCGGCAGUUAAAAAGUGUUGAAGGUGGGACCCUACGCAAUGUGAACCCUUGAACCCCGUGAGAUCUGGAAAGAAGCAGCGGUAAGAGGAUGUAAUAUGUGCCGUAGGAACAUCUCACUGGAGCUUUUUGCUGCCAUACCGCUAGGAGAAGGUAGUCGGAUGCAAGUGCAUAG